UUUAAUUUACAAUGACACUUGGGCCCCUAAAUGACAAGAGUGAACGAAGACUAUGAACCUACGAUUUUUGAGGAAGUAAAGCCAACUGUAGCCUUUGACGAUAUCAGCUAUCUACAAACUAUCCUGAGCCUGAAAUGGGUGGAAAGGAGGGUGAUGAGAUUAUAUAAUCCUAGUGAGUAAACAAAUAUCAUCUAAACAAUCUAAAGCCGAGGAAAUAGAGACAAUUAAAAUAGAUCAUCAUAUUGUAAUUCAUCACCUUUCAACUCAUUUCAACCAAAUAAAAUCAAUUCAUAUAAAUCGAGUAAUCAACAUGGCUAAUGAAUUUCUUAAAACUUGGCUCGUCCCAAAAACUCAUACUUGGUGACACCUUGAUCAGAGGUAUCCAACCAAGUCUGCCAAGGCUAUCAAAAUUUCAUAUACACGUAAACAUAUUUGCACGUUAGAAAACACAACCGUUCCUUGGCGUUAACGGAGUUCAUCCUCAUAUGGUGGUUUGACGUGACGUGAACUCUAACCAUACCCCAGGAGAUACCCUACGUGCCUCUCCGAUCGAGAUAAGAAUAUAACUAGAUUUCGUGCCCCUCUAAUAGGCUGGUCCACAGAACCUACCACUGCAGUGACCAAUCUAUAACCCACCAAUUCAAUAAAAUUCAACAGCAUGACAUGGCAAUUUUAUCAUUAUCCAACCUAUCCAGGCAAACAACAGUUUAUACAUUUUCAACACAAAUACCCAUCCAGCCAUUCAUGCCUACAUUUUCAAAUUUACAAUACAAAAGUAGUCUCUAAUUACUCCAUUUUCAAGUCAUCAUUAAGUUUCAAAACAAUUUAUAAAAUCAUUUCAUUUAAACACAUUUUCCAUGGAAUUACAAAAUCGGAUAAAAACAUACUUUAGAUAAGUAAGACGAUAAUAAGGUUACUCACUGUAAUGGGAAUCGAGUUUCGAGUACUCCGAUUCUUGAUCCUUGAUUACUAUCUCUUUACUUUUUCCAGAAAACUCACCACCUAGACAUAAUGCACAAUAAGCCAUUUACUACGUUUGUGCUAAAUUGUUAUAAAACUAAUUCAGGCUCUAUACUAAUGUAUGAAAUGGGAUGUGAAAUGCUCGAGUAACCAUCUAAAUACGAUGUUCAAUAUAAGUUCAAUUGUGUACCUAAAUAAAACGGUAUUGGCCUAAUUCGAUCUAUCAACCGAUUAAUUGGCCAAUACGUCCAAUUUAACUCCAAACAAUUCCAUUUCUCUGCCAAUACUCCGAAUCAUCAAACACAAAUUAAAUAAGUUGAAAUAUGGUAAAAUCAUCCUCACAUUUUCUCUUGGAAAAAUUCGGCCAUGGAGGUUCUUGAGGGGUAUACGGUUUUUCAUGCUAAACAUUACCAUUUUCGGUUUCAUCCACCACAAUUCAUUAAAUUCUAACUAAAUAACAUAAGACAUCACAAGAUUCAUCUUCAAUAUUUUUUUUAUGAAAUUCGGCCAACGAAGAAUCCAUGAAGAAUAUGUGAUUUUUCUUACUUGUUUUCCUUCCAAACAUGAUAAAUCAACUAAAAACACUAAAAUAUCUCAAAAUCUAACCAAAUAAAUCAUCAAAUCUUCUCUCUCUAAAUUCCGGUCAUCCAUGAAUCCUUCAUGAUAUCUUGUGAUUCAACCAUGGAAAAUGCAAAAGAAUGCAUAGGAAAGAUAGAUCACAAGCUAGAGUUAAGAAAUUUCACCUUUGAUGUCUUUAUUCCUUGAAAUCUAGUGAUUUUCCCUUGAAUUUCUUAGAUAGGGUUUUGUUCUUCUUCUUUUCUUCCCUUUUCUUCCUUUGGCAGACCAAGAGAAAUGAG
rnacentral:lncRNA from 1 species